rnacentral:rRNA from 1 species
UACGUAGGCAGCAAGCGUUGUUCGGAAUUAUUGGGCGUAAAGAGUAUGUAGGCGGUUGGCUAAGUUUGGUGUGAAAUCUCCUGGCUUAACUGGGAGGGUGCGCUAAAUACUGGUCGGCUUGAGUGUGGGAGAGGAGAGUGGAAUGCCUGGUGUAGCGGUGAAAUGCGUAGAUAUCAGGCGGAACGCCGGUGAUGUAGAUGGCUCUCUGGACCACAACUGACGCUGAGAUACGAAAGCGUGGGUAGCAAACAGG